AUUUUCUUAGUAUAAGAAGUAUGCUUACCUUCCAAGUAAGAGGUUUAUGAUAUAAAGAAAAUA
rnacentral:tRNA from 1 species